rnacentral:pre_miRNA from 1 species
AUGUAGGGCAAUCUGUCUUUAAGUAGGGGUAAAUUAAGAAAAAAAAGGAAUCCUAGAUAGUUUUCUCUUUAAGUCAAGCGUCUUGU